rnacentral:SRP_RNA from 1 species
GCCAGGCAUGGUGGCGCGUGCCUGUAAUCCCAGAUACUUGGGAGGCUGAGGCAGGAGAAUCACUUGAACCCGGGAGGCAGAGGUUGCAGUGAGCCGAGAUCAUGCCAUUGCACUCCAGCCUGGGUAACAGAGUGAAACUCUGUUUCAA